rnacentral:snRNA from 1 species
GUGCUCACUUCGGCAGCACAUACGCUACAAUUGGAACGAUACAGAGAGGAUUAACAUGGCCCCUGCACAAGGAUGACACGCAAAUUCAGGAAGCGUUCCAGAUUUUU